CUACGGGAUGCUGCAGUGGGGAAUAUUGCACAAUGGGGGAAACCCUGAUGCAGCAACGCCGCGUGGAGGAUGACACAUUUCGGUGCGUAAACUCCUUUUAUAUAAGAAGAUAAUGACGGUAUUAUAUGAAUAAGCACCGGCUAACUCCGUGCCAGCAGCCGCGGUAAUACGGAGGGUGCAAGCGUUAUUCGGAAUCACUGGGCGUAAAGGGUGCGUAGGCGGUUUGGAAAGUCAGGUGUGAAAGCCCGGGGCUCAACUCCGGAACUGCACUUGAAACUUCCAGAAUAGAAUACUGAAGGGGCAGAUGGAAUUAGUGGUGUAGGGGUAAAAUCCGUAGAUAUCACUAGGAAUACCGAAAGCGAAAGCGAUCUGCUGGGAAGUUAUUGACGCUGAGGCACGAAAGCGUGGGGAGCAAACAGGAUUAGAUACCCUCGUAGUC
rnacentral:rRNA from 1 species